GUGGGGAAUUUUGGACAAUGGGGGAAACCCUGAUCCAGCGACGCCGCGUGAGUGAAGAAGGCCUUCGGGUCGUAAAGCUCUGUCAUCAGGGACGAACGGCCGGUGGAGUGGAAAGCCACCGGAUUGACGGUACCUGAGAAGGAAGCCACGGCUAACUACGUGCCAGCAGCCGCGGUAAUACGUAGGUGGCAAGCGUUGUCCGGAAUUAUUGGGCGUAAAGCGCGCGCAGGUGGGAUCUUAAGUCCAUUUUGAAAGUUCGGAGCUCAACUCCGUGAUGGGAUGGAAACUGGGAUUCUUGAGUACCGGAGAGGAAAGCGGAAUUCCCCGUGUAGCGGUGAAAUGCGUAGAUAUGGGGAGGAACACCAGUGGCGAAGGCGGCUUUCUGGACGGUGUCUGACACUGAGGCGCGAAAGCCAGGGGAGCGAACGGGAUUAGAAACCCGUGUAGUCC
rnacentral:rRNA from 1 species